UACGAAGGGGGCUAGCGUUGUUCGGAUUUACUGGGCGUAAAGCGCACGUAGGCGGAUCUUUAAGUCAGAGGUGAAAUCCCAAGGCUCAACCUUGGAACUGCCUUUGAUACUGGAUCUUGAGUCCGGGAGAGGUGAGUGGAACUGCGAGUGUAGAGGUGAAAUUCGUAGAUAUUCGCAAGAACACCAGUGGCGAAGGCGGCUCACUGGCCCGGUACUGACGCUGAGGUGCGAAAGCGUGGGGAGCAAACAGG
rnacentral:rRNA from 1 species